GACAGAGGUGCCGAGCGUUAGGCGGAAUCACUGGGCUUAAAGCGUGUGUAGGCGGGUGCCUAAGUACCUUGUGAAAUCCCACGGCUCAACCGUGGAACUGCUGGGUAUACUGGGUGCCUUGAGCCACUUAGGGGCUACCGGAACAAAUGGUGGAGCGGUGAAAUGCGUAGAUAUCAUUUGGAACGCCAAUGGUGAAAACAGGUAGCUGGGAGUGUGCUGACGCUGGAGACACGAAAGCCAGGGGAGCGAACGGG
rnacentral:rRNA from 1 species